rnacentral:lncRNA from 1 species
UUUCUCACUGGAUUAUUAUUAUUAUUUUUUUUUCCCAAAUCUUUAAGCGGAGGAUGCAUAAAAUAAACCCAGAAACCUACAAACUUCUCAGAUUUUCAGAGUACAAGCGUGACAACAAUUUUCUUCCAAGUGCUAAAUUUGAAAAUAAAGAAACUAGUGAAGUGGUUUGAUCCAUGAAGCAUUUAAACAAAAAUACUUAAGUGCUUGCUCAGAAGUUGCAAGAAGAAAGAAAUAAGUGUGAUCA